CAGCAGCCGCGGGAAUACGAAGGGGGCUAGCGUUGUUCGGAAUUACUGGGCGUAAAGCGCGCGUAGGCGGAUAUUUAAGUCAGGGGUGAAAUCCCAAGGCUCAACCUUGGAACUGCCUUUGAUACUGGAUAUCUGGAGUUUGGGAGAGGUGAGUGGAAUUCCGAGUGUAGAGGUGAAAUUCGUAGAUAUUCGGAGGAACACCAGAAGCGAAGGCGGCUCACUGGCCCAAUACUGACGCUGAGGCGCGAAGGCGUGGGGAGCAAACAGGAUUAGAGACCCCCGUAGUCCCUGUCUCUUAUAU
rnacentral:rRNA from 1 species